CGUAGGGUGCGAGCGUUAAUCGGAAUUACUGGGCGUAAAGCGUGCGCAGGCGGUUUAGUAAGACAGGCGUGAAAUCCCCGGGCUCAACCUGGGAACUGCGCUUGUGACUACUAAGCUAGAGUACGGCAGAGGGGGUGGAAUUCCACGUGUAGCAGUGAAAUGCGUAGAGAUGUGGAGGAACACCAAUGGCGAAGGCAGCCCCCUGGGUCGAUACUGACGCUCAUGCACGAAAGCGUGGGUAGCAAACAGGAUUAGAUACCCUGGUAGUCCACGCCCUAAACGAUGUCAACUAGGUGUUGGGAGGGUAAAACCUUUUAGUACCGGAGCUAACGCGUGAAGUUGACCGCCUGGGGAGUACGGCCGCAAGGUUA
rnacentral:rRNA from 1 species